rnacentral:rRNA from 1 species
UACGUAGGCAGCAAGCGUUGUUCGGAAUUACUGGGCGUAAAGAGUGUGUAGGCGGUGCUCUAAGUUCGGGGUGAAAUCUCCCGGCUUAACUGGGAGGGUGCGCCGGAAACUGGAGUGCUCGAGCGUGGGAGAGGAAAGCGGAAUUCCUGGUGUAGCGGUGAAAUGCGUAGAUAUCAGGAGGAACACCGAUGGCGAAGGCAGGUCUCUGGGCAUUAACAGACGCUGAGGAGCGAAAGCAUGGGGAGCGAACAGG